rnacentral:rRNA from 1 species
CCUACGGGAGGCAGCAGUGAGGAAUAUUGCGCAAUGGGCGAAAGCCUGAAGCAGCGACGCCGCGUGAGGGAUGAAGGUCUUCGGAUCGUAAACCUCUGUCAGCAGGGAAGAACGGUCACUGUGCUAAUCAGCAGUGAAUUGACGGUACCUGCAAAGGAAGCACCGGCUAACUCCGUGCCAGCAGCCGCGGUAAUACGUAGGGUGCGAGCGUUAAUCGGAUUUACUGGGCGUGAAGCGCUCGUAGGCGGUAUGUCAAGUCAAGGGUGAAAUACCCGCGCUCAACGUGGGAACUGCCUUGGAAACUGGCAAACUUGAGUGGGUGGGAGGAUAGUGGAAUUCCAGGUGUAGGAGUGAAAUCCGUAGAUAUCUGGAGGAACAUCAGUGGCGAAGGCGACUAUCUGGCACAUAACUGACGCUGAGGAGCGAAAGCGCGGGUAGCAAACAGGAUUAGAUACCCUUGUAGUC